rnacentral:rRNA from 1 species
GAUUGCCUUAGUAACGGCGAGUGAAGCGGCAAAAGCUCAAAUUUGAAAUCUGGUACCUUCGGUGCCCGAGUUGUAAUUUGGAGAGGGCAACUUUGGGGCCGUUCCUUGUCUAUGUUCCUUGGAACAGGACGUCAUAGAGGGUGAGAAUCCCGUGUGGCGAGGAGUGCGGUUCUUUGUAAAGUGCCUUCGAAGAGUCGAGUUGUUUGGGAAUGCAGCUCUAAGUGGGUGGUAAAUUCCAUCUAAAGCUAAAUAUUGGCGAGAGACCGAUAGCGAACAAGUACAGUGAUGGAAAGAUGAAAAGAACUUUGAAAAGAGAGUGAAAAAGUACGUGAAAUUGUUGAAAGGGAAGGGCAUUUGAUCAGACAUGGUGUUUUGUGCCCUCUGCUCCUUGUGGGUAGGGGAAUCUCGCAUUUCACUGGGCCAGCAUCAGUUUUGGUGGCAGGAUAAAUCCAUAGGAAUGUAGCUUGCCUCGGUAAGUAUUAUAGCCUGUGGGAAUACUGCCAGCUGGGACUGAGGACUGCGACGUAAGUCAAGGAUGCUGGCAUAAUGGUUAUAUGCCGCCCGUCUUGAAACACGGACCUCCUGUG